rnacentral:rRNA from 1 species
UCAGUGUUCGACUAAGCCAUGCAAGUCAAAUGUUCUUCGUGAACAUGGCGGACUGCUCAGUAACACGUGGAUAACCUGCCCUUAGGAUUGGCAUAACACCGGGAAACUGGUGAUAAUACCGAAUAGACCAUUUAUGCUGGAAUGCUUUUUGGUUCAAAGGCUUCGGCUGCCUAAGGAUGGAUCUGCGGCCUAUCAGGUAGUAGUGGGUGUAAUGUACCUACUAGCCUACGACGGGUACGGGUUGUGAGAGCAAGAGCCCGGAGAUAGAUUCUGAGACAUGAAUCCAGGCCCUACGGGGCGCAGCAGGCGCGAAAACUUUACAAUGCGGGAAACCGCGAUAAGGGGACACUGAGUGCCAGCAUAUUAUGUUGGCUGUCCACAUGUAUAAAAACCAUGUGUUAGCAAGGGCCGGGCAAGACCGGUGCCAGCCGCCGCGGUAACACCGGCGGCCCGAGUGGUGAUCACUUUUAUUGGGUCUAAAGGGUCCGUAGCCGGUUUAAUCAGUCUUCUGGGAAAUCUGACAGCUCAACUGUUAGGCUUUCAGGGGAUACUGUUAGACUUGGGACCGGGAGAGGUAAGAGGUACUACAGGGGUAGGAGUGAAAUCUUGUAAUCCCUGUGGGACCACCAGUGGCGAAGGCGUCUUACCAGAACGGGUCCGACGGUGAGGGACGAAAGCUGGGGGCACGAACCGGAUUAGAUACCCGGGUAGUCCCAGCCGUAAACGAUGCUCGCUAGGUGUCAGGGACGGUGCGACCGUUUCUGGUGCCGCAGGGAAGCCGUGAAGCGAGCCACCUGGGAAGUACGGCCGCAAGGCUGAAACUUAAAGGAAUUGGCGGGGGAGCACUACAACGGGUGGAGCCUGCGGUUUAAUUGGACUCAACGCCGGAAAACUCACCGGGGGCGACAGCAAUAUGUAGGUCAGGCUAAAGACCUUACCCGAAUCGCUGAGAGGAGGUGCAUGGCCGUCGUCAGUUCGUACUGUGAAGCAUCCUGUUAAGUCAGGCAACGAGCGAGACCCGUGCCCACUGUUGCCAGCAUGUCCUUCGGGAUGAUGGGUACUCUGUGGGGACCGCCGCUGCUAAAGCGGAGGAAGGUGCGGGCUACGGUAGGUCAGUAUGCCCCGAAUCUCCCGGGCUACACGCGGGCUACAAUGAUUGGGACAAUGGGUCCCUACUCCGAA